GACGAACGCUGGCGGCGUGCUUAACACAUGCAAGUCGAACGGAAAGGCCCUGCUCUUGUGGGUUGCUCGAUUGGCGAACGGGUGAGUAACACGUGAGUAACCUGCCCUUGACUUUGGGAUAACUCCUGGAAACUGGGGCUAAUACCGGAUAGGAUCUCCUGCUGCACGGUGGGGGUUGGAAAGUUUCGGCGGUAGGGGCUAGUCUCGCGGGUUAUCAGCUUGAUGGGGGGGUAGGGGCUUUCCAAGGGUUUGACGGAUAGCCGGCCUGAGAGGGUUAACGGGGACCAGGGGACUGAGAUACGGAGCAGACUCCUACGGGAGGCAACAGGGGGGAGUAUUGCACAGUGGGCGGAAGCCUGAUACAGCAACGCCGCGUGCGGGAUAACGGCCUACGAGUUAUAAACCGCUUUCGCCUGUGACGAAGCGUGAGUGACGGUAAUGGGUAAGGAAGCACCGGCUAACUACGUG
rnacentral:rRNA from 1 species